AGGGCUGUUUUUCCAAGCCCUUCACUAGCCUCGUUGCCCUUCUCUGGACCUGCUCCAGUACCUCCAUGUCCUUCUUGUACUGAGGUGCCCAAAACUGAACACAGUACUCAAGGUGAGACCUCACCAAUGUCGAUUACAGUGGCAGGAUGACUUCCCUAGUCCUGCUCACCACACGGUUCCUGAUACAAGCCAGGAUGCCAUUGGCAAUCUUGGCCACCUGGGCACACUGCUGGCUCAUAUUCAGCCGACUGUCCAACAGUACACCAAGGUCCCUUUCCAUCAGGCAGCUUUCCAGCCACACCUCCCCAAGCCUGUAGGGUUGCCUGGGGUUGUUCUCUUGGAACGAGCUCAGAGGAGGGCCACUAAGAUGAUCAGAGGGCUGGAGCACCUCU
ensembl:lncRNA